rnacentral:lncRNA from 1 species
GCGGGCAGCACUUUCUCCACCAAGACAGCCUGGGCCAGGCCACUGCAUCAGGGCUCCAGUGUCUCCACCAGGACAGCCUGGGCCAGGCCACCGCAUCAGGACUCCAGUGUCUCCACCAGGACAGCCUGGGCCAGGCCACUGCAUCAGGGCUCCGGUGUCUCCGCACGGCAGAACCAUGGUUUGCUGAGUCUCUGCCCAGUGCCCUCCAUCCAGGGAUGUGUCUACAGAUUGAAGACUAAAGAACCCACAUCCACCCAGAGGCCAGUUAGCCCAGCC